CCAGCCGCGGUAAUUCCAGCUCCAAUAGCGUAUAUUAAAGUUGUUGCAGUUAAAAAGCUCGUAGUUGAAUUUUAGGCCUGGCCGGGCGGUCCGUCUUUGGCGAGUACUGUCUGUUGUCGGGUCUUCCUUCUGGUGAACCAAUAUGUCCUUUAUUGGGUGUGCUGGGGAGCCAGGACCAUUACCUUGAAAAAAUUAGAGUGUUUAAAGCAGGCUUUUGCUUGAAUAGAUUAGCAUGGAAUAAUAGAAUAGGACGUUGUGGUUCUAUUUUGUUGGUUUCUAGGACCACCGUAAUGAUUAAUAGGGAUAGUUGGGGGCAUUAGUAUUCAAUUGUCAGAGGUGAAAUUCUUGGAUUUAUUGAAGACUAACUAUUGCGAAAGCAUUUGCCAAGGAUGUUUUCAUUAAUCAAGAACGAAAGUUAGGGGAUCGAAGACGAUCAGAUACCGUCGUAGUCUUAACCAUAAACUAUGCCGACUAGGAAUCGGGCGACGUUAUUUUAAUGACUCGCUCGGCGCCUUAUG
rnacentral:rRNA from 1 species